UCCUCACCACCUUCCUGAAUAAUUCAGCCUCUAUAUGAGCUGAAGAUUGUAUACAAAAUCAGUAUCAACAAAUUCACUCUAUUCACUCUACAAAAUCCAUCCACCACCACCUUCAAAUUACCACCUACCAAAUUGUAAUCCCAAACUCUGCAGAACAAGAAGGCAAUAAGGUAGCAUCCCAAAACAUCAGCAGAACAAGAAAGCAGCAGCAGAACAAGAAGGCAGCAUCCAAAACAGGAUAGGAGUUUUAGUUGUUCCUCCCUAUCUUCGGCCCUUCUUCGACGCUCUGCAGCUUUCUGCUUACGGUCGAUCGCCUUUUGUUCAUCUCGCUCAAUAGUUCUAGCGGAAAUAGUUGAUAACACUUCAACAAUUUUGGAUUGGUUGGCAGCCAUUUCAUCAAAUUUACUAUCGUGCGUUGUUUGAUUCUUCAAUUUCUCUUUCCCGCUGCCUUAGUACCAAUUGGUCGUGUUGAUGUAUUAGAUGGUUGUUCGUGCACCGCAUUAUUCUGAUUGGUUGAAAUGCGUCAGAUUCUCCAGUUGGUGGAUUCGAACAUGGAUAAGCAUGUUGCGUGCUUCUUUGGGAUUAUGCUCGAAAUUCAUCCCACUUACAACUUCGGCGCAAAAUAUCCCAACAUGUAUCAAAUGUAAAGUGUUUUUUCUGUAUUGCAUGAUACAUCUGCUUCGCUUCAGCGAUCUACAAAAAAAAUUACAAAAAUUGUAAUAACAAGUAUACAUUUACAAAAGAAAUUUGAUAUUUAGAAAGACAAAUAAAUUUUACCAUGUCUA